rnacentral:rRNA from 1 species
GACGUAGGGGGCAAGCGUUGUCCGGAAUCAUUGGGCGUAAAGCGCGCGUAGGCGGCCCGGUAAGUCCGUUGUGAAAGUCGAAGGCUCAACCUUCGAAAGCCGAUGGAUACUGCCGGGCUAGAGUACGGAAGAGGCGAGUGGAAUUCCUGGUGUAGCGGUGGAAUGCGCAGAUAUCAGGAGGAACACCAAUAGCGAAGGCAGCUCGCUGGGACGUUACUGACGCUGAGGCGCGAAAGCGUGGGGAGCGAACAGG